rnacentral:lncRNA from 1 species
GUGAGGAAUGGCUGGUGGGGCUGGGAGAUUGAGUGGUGGUGGUGGGGUGAGGACUGAGGAUAGAGACAGGGAAGGCCCAGCUGUCAUGAAACAGGGAGGAGAGUGGACGGUAGAUCCCGAAACUGGAGACAGAGCUUCUGCAUGGCUGGUAGAACUGAAGGGCCCCAGCUACGGAAAAACGGGUUGAAAGACCUCAAUCUCACCAAGAUGGGCACCCCCGUGAGCGAGUCAUAGAGAAAGACGAUGGCGCUGACCAAGUUGGUGACCUGCAAGGAUGUCUUGGCAGAUUCAGAGCCAUCCAGCGAGGACCGCCGCUUCCCUCGGGUGUCCUCCACCACGAUGGCUGGCACCUCAAAAGCUGGCCGGGUACCCAAGCCCCCCAGCCCACCUGCCUUGGCUCCCACGCUGCCCCCCGCUCUCCGGGCUUGCCGAGCCCUCCGGGGCCGGGCCCACAGUGUCUGAUAGAACGUGAUGGCCACACAGACCAACCCCAUGACAAUGCCCCCAAGGAGCAAGAGGCUGAAGCAGACACCAAAGCCCAGGCCAAUCUUGGAGACUAUGAACUGGCAGCCUCGGGCGUAGUAGCGCUCCCCGUUGUUGUGCCAGCCGAUGGAGGGCAGCGUGGACAGGAUAAAGCUGACCAUCCAGAUGCCCA